AGAGAUGAGGAGGAAGAGGUGGCCGCAGGCAAGAAAUCACUGCUGUUGCCCAAAUGCCCAAAGUCCUACCAAGCCUGACACGCAGCAAAUGCUCCAGACAGUUCUGUCAAGCAAAUUAACAAAUAAAUGAACUUAUAAAAUCAUGACUUGAGUAAAAGCAGAAACGUUACCCGCUCUAGUUCGGGGCAGUCGCAGCUGCCUGGACCACAGCUAAAAGCACUGGGACCACUGCUUUCCUCAACAAAAGGAUACACAGGAAAUUCAAGGAAUUGAACUCAAGAUUCCUCAGUCAAUUUACCCAAAUGAAA
rnacentral:lncRNA from 1 species